CAGGCCUAACACAUGCAAGUCGAGCGGGCCCUUCGGGGUCAGCGGCGGACGGGUGAGUAACGCGUGGGAACGUGCCCUCUGGUUCGGAAUAACUCAGGGAAACUUGAGCUAAUACCGGAUACGCCCUUUUGGGGAAAGGUUUGCUGCCGGAGGAUCGGCCCGCGUCUGAUUAGCUAGUUGGUGGGGUAACGGCCUACCAAGGCGACGAUCAGUAGCUGGUCUGAGAGGAUGAUCAGCCACACUGGGACUGAGACACGGCCCAGACUCCUACGGGAGGCAGCAGUGGGGAAUAUUGGACAAUGGGGGCAACCCUGAUCCAGCCAUGCCGCGUGAGUGAUGAAGGCCUUAGGGUUGUAAAGCUCUUUUAUCCGGGACGAUAAUGACGGUACCGGAGGAAUAAGCCCCGGCUAACUUCGUGCCAGCAGCCGCGGUAAU
rnacentral:rRNA from 1 species